ACAUCUUUAAUGUGAUCCUAACUGAGUCUAACGUUCAUUGGAACCCUGCUGUUUACACAAGAGAUACCAACCCAGGAAGCAGUGACUCUCCAGAUCCCUCCAAGAAACUUUGUCACCUCCAAUAAAUUCUUUAAACCUUC